rnacentral:rRNA from 1 species
UACGUAGGGGGCUAGCGUUGUCCGGAAUUACUGGGCGUAAAGCGCACGUAGGCGGCUUUGUAAGUUAGAGGUGAAAGCCCGGGGCUCAACUCCGGAAUUGCCUUUAAGACUGCAUCGCUAGAAUUGUGGAGAGGUAAGUGGAAUUCCGAGUGUAGAGGUGAAAUUCGUAGAUAUUCGGAAGAACACCAGUGGCGAAGGCGACUUACUGGACAGAUAUUGACGCUGAGGUGCGAAAGCGUGGGGAGCAAACAGG